rnacentral:rRNA from 1 species
UACGAAGGGGGCUAGCGUUGCUCGGAAUCACUGGGCGUAAAGGGUGCGUAGGCGGGUCUUUAAGUCAGGGGUGAAAUCCUGGAGCUCAACUCCAGAACUGCCUUUGAUACUGAGGAGCUUGAGUUCGGGAGAGGUGAGUGGAACUGCGAGUGUAGAGGUGAAAUUCGUAGAUAUUCGCAGGAACACCAGUGGCGAAGGCGGCUCACUGGCCCGAUACUGACGCUGAGGCACGAAAGCGUGGGGAGCAAACAGG